GACGAACGCUGGCGGCGUGCUUAACACAUGCAAGUCGUGCGGUAAGGCCCUGCUUUGGUGGGUACACGAGCGGCGAACGGGUGAGUAACACGUGGGUGACCUGCCUUCAGCUUUGGGAUAAGCCUGGGAAACUGGGUCUAAUACCGGAUAUGACCUUGGGGUGCAUGCCUUGGGGUGGAAAGCCUGUGUUGUUCGGCAUGGGUGGCUGGGGAUGGGCCCGCGGUCUAUCAGCUUGNGGUGGGGUGAUGGCCUACCAAGGCGACGACGGGUAGCCGGCCUGAGAGGGCGUUCGGCCACACUGGGACUGAGACACGGCCCAGACUCCUACGGGAGGCAGCAGUGGGGAAUAUUGCGCAAUGGGCGGAAGCCUGACGCAGCGACGCCG
rnacentral:rRNA from 1 species